rnacentral:tRNA from 1 species
GCCCGGGUGGCUCAGUGGUUGAGCAACUGCCUUCAGCCCAGGCCAUGAUCCCAGAGUCUUGGGAUCGAGUCCCACGUCGGGCU